GGCUUUCCUUGUGUUAUUUCAUUAAAGUAAAUACGCUACAUUACAUUCGUCAUUCUUAUUGUUGUUUAAUAUUGCAAUGUUGUAGGUCGAUUUCCCAAUGAUUAUGCAGGUACAUAAUGAGGAUAAUAUAUUAUUCACCAAUUUUUUCCGCUGUUUCAUAUUUCAACUGCAACCAGCUAAGUAUUCGAUGAAGUCAUCAUCUAUUUAGGGUAAUAUUGAGAUGCCCCAACCUUGGCAACGUCCUGUGAAUAUGAUUGUCGAUACGACGCACCCUAUACAUCAUAUUAGUUACACAUGCUGCCAACCGAAACCUGGUGGGAUUACCGAAAAGGGAAAGAGAGCGAAGAUGAGACGGAUGGAAUUUCUCGGAAGAUCACAUGUGUUUACCAUUUCAGACACCUGCCGUCCAGUUUUUUCCUAGAAAUGCAGGGAAUGGGCGAUUUUCGGGUGGUUUUUAGGGGUGUUAGAAGAUCAAGUUACCGCGUCGCUUGGGGUAGUCAAUAAAUACGAUUUAACAUG